AUUGAACGCUGGCGGCAUGCUUUACACAUGCAAGUCGAACGGUAACAGGGUGCUUGCACCGCUGACGAGUGGCGAACGGGUGAGUAAUGCGUCGGAACGUGCCGAGUAGUGGGGGAUAACGCAGCGAAAGUCGUGCUAAUACCGCAUACGUACUGAGGUAGAAAGUGGGGGACCUUCGGGCCUCACGCUAUUCGAGCGACCGACGUCUGAUUAGCUAGUAGGUGAGGUAAAGGCUCACCUAGGCGACGAUCAGUAGCGGGUCGGAGAGGAUGAUCCGCCACACUGGGACUGAGAAACGGCCCAGACGCCUGCGGGAGGCAGCAGUGGGGAAUUUUGGACAAUGGGCGAAAGCCUGAUCCAGCCAUGCCGCGUGUCUGAAGAAGGCCUUCGGGUUGUAAAGGACUUUUGUCAGGGAGGAAAUCCCUAGUGCUAAUAACACUGGGGGAUGACAGUACCUGAAGAAUAAGCACCGGCUAACUACGUGCCAGCCGCCGCGGUAA
rnacentral:rRNA from 1 species